AAAGGUCAUGUCCCAUGUGCCUAGCUGGGAGGGACAGGUCCCCUAAUGCCAAAUAUCUGGCUGCUACUCCACUUUGCAGACAGAAAACUCAGCUUUGUCUGCUCUCUCAGACCUCUGUCAACCUAGGAAAAGUGACACACACUGAACAAACACCACAUGAGCUGUGUGUUUAAGUCAUGUGGUUGCCUUUUGAAGGAGAGGGAGCUGGAUAGAAAACUGGAUUGAGCCAGACAACUACCCAGGGUACUCCCUCUACAACCAGAUCAAGCCAUUGAUGAGAAGAAUGUUAGAAUGUCCAAGGAAUACUAACCAGUAAUUAAGUGACCAUAUGGGUGUGGAGCUCAGCAAUAAGGAUGUGAAUUGAAGCCACCCAAGAAGACCAUGUACUGUGAAAAGAUAAGGACAAGGACAGAAGGCUGAGGAACAUCAACAUUCAAAUGGUGGACAACGCUGGAUGGAAGAACCUGAAAAGAAGACUGAAAAGUGACCAAAGAGUAGGAGGAAGGCAAGACUUUUUCUAGAAAAAGACGCCAACAG
ensembl:lncRNA novel transcript